UGGCGCGCUCGGCGGGCGCUCGGGGAGGGGCACGGGCCCGGCCAUUGGCCGAGGGGCGCACCUGUCACCGUCCGGGCCGCCCGCCGCCCCGCCCCCGCGCCGCGAGGUCCUAGAGCGCCGGGCUGCCGAGCGGCGGCGGCGGGGCGGAGACGGCCACCGGCAGCCGGAUCGGAGGCCCCGCCUGGGGAGCCCGCGCGCCCUCCCGCAAGUGCUGGGCGGGGCUGCGGGCGCCGGCACCCCGGGUCCCGGCGUGGGCCCCGCCGCCUGGGUCCCGCCCCGGAGACCCGCGGUCCCGCCGCGGCCCGGCGACACCUAGAGCCAGCGGCGCGCGUCUCGUGGCGCCUCCGCGCCAGCGCUUGAGCCUGGGCGCUGCUGCGUCGGGGAGCCCGCUUUGCUCAACGACGGCAGCACAGCGACGACCAAAGCGGUCCCCAAGCCCUGCUCCCGGGGCUCCGGGUGCACGGCAGCACGUGCGUCCCUGUCGUCAGCCCUCUGCAGGUCGAACCUUAUUGCAUCCUCUGGGAAGUCCUGUGCGUUUCAGACGGCAUGCGUGUGAGAGAGCGUGAGUUUGCCUCCCGCAAGUCCUCGCCGUGAGCUCCUGCCCCGCCUGGGCGGAGAGGGCAGAGUCUGGGAGCCCCUAGGCCUGCAGGACCCAGGUCGACUUGGAGACGCUGCCCACCUGCUAUUGGGAGGAUCCUCUUCUCUGCGGAAGGACACCCGUGGGCGUGCAAGAGACAGCACCCUCCUCGGCUCUGGAAAGUCAGCGGGAGCCCCGAGUCCUCCCGAGGCGGGUCACUCUGCCCCUGGACCCUGUAACCAUGCUCCUAAACUACUCAGAAUCCUUGGCAGGGCCAUGCCAGUCCCCCUUGAGAGCAGCUGAGAGCACUUCCUGGAAGACAGAUUGGACAGGCCUCGCAAGCGGGCAGGCCGGGUUCCCCCAGCCGUGGGCAACAGCCAGUGUCUGGGCCUGGCCAUGGGCAGAGGACGGAGUCAGUUCAGCGGGAAGAGCCGGUGUCGGAUCGGGUGGCGGCUGGAGCGUCCAAGGACGCACGGAACCUGGGCCGAGAUGCUGCGCUCGCCAGGGCCGCCUCCUCCGCCCGGGGCCCCGGGGCUGAUUUAAUAGAAUGUCGAUAGAAUCAUUCGAUGCCUUUUAGCUUGUGAUCUUUAUAAAUGUCCCUCUAUUAAAUUAGAAAAUGAUUCUCUUCUCGUUUAAUUGUAUUCUUUCGUUUCUUAUUUCCAAUUAAUUAGUCCUAUCGACGUUGCAAUAUUUUAAGUGACUCGAGUCCGUUUCCAGUUAGAAUAUAUGGGUCAGCACAGGCAAUUUUAUACCCGAC
rnacentral:lncRNA from 12 species